AGCAGCCGCGGUAAUUCCAGCUCCAAUAGCGUAUAUUAAAGUUGUUGCAGUUAAAAAGCUCGUAGUUGAAUUUCGGGAUUCUACCGUUGGUCGGGCUAUCCAGUCUGUACUAGCGUGUAGAAUUCCUACCUUCUGGGGAACCAUCAUGUUAUUAAUUUAGCGUGGUGGGAAACCAGGACCUUUACCUUGAAAAAUUAGAGUGUUCAAAGCAGGCUUACGUCUGAAUACAUUAGCAUGGAAUAAUAAAAUAGGACGGUGGUCCUGUUUUGUUGGUUUCUGAAUCACCGUAAUGAUUAAUAGGGAUAGUUGGGGGCAUUAGUAUUCAAUUGUCAGAGGUGAAAUUCUUGGAUUUAUUGAAGACUAACUUCUGCGAAAGCAUUUGCCAAGGAUGUUUUCAUUAAUCAAGAACGAAAGUUAGGGGAUCGAAGACGAUCAGAUACCGUCGUAGUCUUAACCAUAAACUAUGCCGACUAGGGAUCGGACGAUGUUAACUUUUAUUGACUCGUUCGGCGCCUUACGG
rnacentral:rRNA from 1 species